rnacentral:rRNA from 1 species
UACAGAGGGGGCAAGCGUUGUUCGGAAUUACUGGGCGUAAAGGGCGCGUAGGCGGCCCGCUAAGUCGAACGUGAAAUCCCCAGGCUUAACCUGGGAACUGCGUCGGAUACUGGUUGGCUUGAAUCCGGGAGAGGGAUGCGGAAUUCCAGGUGUAGCGGUGAAAUGCGUAGAUAUCUGGAGGAACACCGGUGGCGAAGGCGGCAUCCUGGACCGGCAUUGACGCUGAACAGCGAAAGCGUGGGGAGCGAACAGG